rnacentral:rRNA from 1 species
UCCAGACUCCUACGGGAGGCAGCAGUGAGGAAUAUUGGUCAAUGGGCGCGAGCCUGAACCAGCCAAGUCGCGUGAGGGAUGACGGCCCUACGGGUUGUAAACCUCUUUUGUCGGGGAGCAAAUUCCGUUACGUGUAACGGAGUCGAGAGUACCCGAAGAAAAAGCAUCGGCUAACUCCGUGCCAGCAGCCGCGGUAAUACGGAGGAUGCGAGCGUUAUCCGGAUUUAUUGGGUUUAAAGGGUGCGUAGGCGGACUGUCAAGUCAGCGGUAAAAUUGCGGGGCUCAACCCCGUACUGCCGUUGAAACUGCAUCCCUUGAGUGCGCGAGAAGUAUGCGGAAUGCGUGGUGUAGCGGUGAAAUGCAUAGAUAUCACGCAGAACUCCGAUUGCGAAGGCAGCAUACCGGCGCGCAACUGACGCUCAUGCACGAAAGCGUGGGUAUCGAACAGGAUUAGAUACCCUGGUAC